AAAGAGGAUGUCGAAAAUCUUUAAAAGAGUAGACG
rfam:Prevotella sp. S7-1-8 contig126, whole genome shotgun sequence.